rnacentral:rRNA from 1 species
CUAAUACAUGCAAGUCGAACGAACUCUGGUAUUGAUUGGUGCUUGCAUCAUGAUUUACAUUUGAGUGAGUGGCGAACUGGUGAGUAACACGUGGGAAACCUGCCCAGAAGCGGGGGAUAACACCUGGAAACAGAUGCUAAUACCGCAUAACAACUUGGACCGCAUGGUCCGAGUUUGAAAGAUGGCUUCGGCUAUCACUUUUGGAUGGUCCCGCGGCGUAUUAGCUAGAUGGUGGGGUAACGGCUCACCAUGGCAAUGAUACGUAGCCGACCUGAGAGGGUAAUCGGCCACAUUGGGACUGAGACACGGCCCAAACUCCUACGGGAGGCUGCAGUGGGGAAUCUUCCGCAAUGGACGAAAGUCUGACGGAGCAACGCCGCGUGAGUGAUGACGGCCUUCGGGUUGUAAAGCUCUGUUGUUGGAGAAGAAUGCCUUCUUGCGAAUAGUGAGAAGGAUUGACGGUAUCCAACCAGAAAGCCACGGCUAACUACGUGCCAGCAGCCGCGGUAAUACGUAGGUGGCAAGCGUUGUCCGGAUUUAUUGGGCGUAAAGCGAGCGCAGGCGGUUUUUUAAGUCUGAUGUGAAAGCCCUCGGCUUAACCGAGGAAGUGCAUCGGAAACUGGGAAACUUGAGUGCAGAAGAGGACAGUGGAACUCCAUGUGUAGCGGUGAAAUGCGUAGAUAUAUGGAAGAACACCAGUGGCGAAGGCGGCUGUCUGGUCUGUAACUGACGCUGAGGCUCGAAAGCAUGGGUAGCGAACAGGAUUAGAUACCCCGGUAGUCCUGGCCGUAAACGAUGAAUGCUAGGUGUUGGAGGGUUUCCGCCCUUCAGUGCCGCAGCUAACGCAUUAAGCAUUCCGCCUGGGGAGUACGACCGCAAGGCUAAAACUCAAAGAAAUUGACGGGGGCCCGCACAACCGAGGAGGGUCAUCGGAAACUGGGAAACUUGAGUGCAGAAGAGGACAGUGGAACUCCAUGUGUAGCGGUGAAAUGCGUAGAUAUAUGGAAGAACACCAGUGGCGAAGGCGGCUGUCUGGUCUGUAACUGACGCUGAGGCUCGAAAGCAUGGGUAGCGAACAGGAUUAGAUACCCCGGUAGUCCUGGCCGUAAACGAUGAAUGCUAGGUGUUGGAGGGUUUCCGCCCUUCAGUGCCGCAGCUAACGCAUUAAGCAUUCCGCCUGGGGAGUACGACCGCAAGGCUAAAACUCAAAGAAAUUGACGGGGGCCCGCACAAGCGGUGGAGUAUGUGGUUUAAUUCGAAGCAACGCGAAGAACCUUACCAGGUCUUGACAUCUUUUGAUCACCUGAGAGAUCAGGUUUCCCCUUCGGGGGCAAAAUGACAGGUGGUGCAUGGUUGUCGUCAGCUCGUGUUGGGAGAUGUUGGGUUAAGUCCCGCAACGAGCGCAACCCUUAUUAUCAGUUGCCAGCAUUAAGUUGGGCACUUUGGUGAGACUGCCGGUGACAAACCGGAGGAAGGUGGGGAUGACGUCAAAUCAUCAUGCCCCUUAUGACCUGGGCUACACACGUGCUACAAUGGAUGGUACAACGAGUUGCGAACUCGCGAGAGUAAGCUAAUCUCUUAAAGCCAUUCUCAGUUCGGAUUGUAGGCUGCAACUCGCCUACAUGAAGUCGGAAUCGCUAGUAAUCGCGGAUCAGCAUGCCGCGGUGAAUACGUUCCCGGGCCUUGUACACA